rnacentral:rRNA from 1 species
GACGAACGCUGGCGGCGUGCUUAACACAUGCAAGUCGAACGGAAAGGCCCCGCUUUUGUGGGGUGCUCGAGUGGCGAACGGGUGAGUAACACGUGAGUAACCUGCCCUUGACUUUGGGAUAACUUCAGGAAACUGGGGCUAAUACCGGAUAGGAGCUCCUGCUGCAUGGUGGGGGUUGGAAAGUUUGGGCGGUUGGGGAUGGACGCGCGGCUUAUCAGCUUGUUGGUGGGGUAGUGGCUUACCAAGGCUUUGACGGGUAGCCGGCCUGAGAGGGUGACCGGCCACAUUGGGACUGAGAUACGGCCCAGACUCCUACGGGAGGCAGCAGUGGGGAAUAUUGCACAAUGGGCGGAAGCCUGAUGCAGCAACGCCGCGUGCGGGAUGACGGCCUUCGGGUUGUAAACCGCUUUCGCCUGUGACGAAGCGUGAGUGACGGUAAUGGGUGAAGAAGCACCGGCUAACUACGUG